rnacentral:rRNA from 1 species
UGUGGCGAAAAGCUCAUCCGCUUUUCGUAUACCGAACACGGAAGUUAAGACCUCCAGGGCCAAUGAUACUUGGGGCAUAGCCCCUGGGAAAGUAGGUUAUUGCCAGGU